CUUCGUUAGACAUUUUCCUAUGUAGUAGGGUUUUCAAUUCUAGGCCUCCUCUUCUUCAUCACUCAAAAACACUUACCACAACUGAAAAUGUUUGUCCUUUGGUAGAACAAGACCCUCCAUCUCGGUAUGAUGUGGCUAACCGGUGCUAUGAAGCUCUUCCUUAUGCUUCUUUGUUGCUCAGCUAUAAACAGCGAUUGGCUCUGUCCAAAUUGCACAUGCAAAUUUGUUAACACGGAAGUACUAUCACAGAGGAAUGUGAGGGAGCUAUAAAUGAGAUUCUCUAGUGCCAAAUCUGUGAGAAAAAUGUAAAGUUGUUUUGCUUUUGGAGGUUUAGUUUUUUAUAUCUUCUACAAUUCAGUUGAAUUAUUGAACUUUCAUUUUGCAAACCAUAAAUCAUGCAGUCUGGAUAUGAAACCUAUAUCCUCCAGUUCUAUUAAUCCAUCUGUAUCGUCUUGCGGGCAUAAAUGCCAAGAGGUAUUUCUAUUAUUCUAUUUGUGAGUUCUCCUAUAUGAUAUGUGGCACAUUAAGAAUCACUAAAAAUUAUCAACUUCAUUGUUCACUAUUUUUCGAUUGUUGUCCUGUUGAAAAUUCUAAUUAAAUUAACUUUCAUUUACCUUCAUAGUAAAUAAAUAACAUUUGGCAUAAAGUCCAUCCAUGUGUUGAAAAAUGCAGUCAAAACUGAGAAUCAAAAUUAUGCAACUAAUUGCAUAGACAAUAAACAAGAAUGAAGGAAGAAAUGGGCUGAAAAAACUUCAAGGACUAUAAAGCUGAUCCAACUGAAAGGAUCUGCUAGCCAAAUAUGAUGUAGAUACAGCCAACAAAGGCAAAAAUUUGGGCUUCAACCCUGAAAUAAUAUUAUAAUCCCAAAAUCAGCUUUUAUUGUAUGAAUCAUUUCUUUGUUUCUUCUUGACACACUAUUUUCAAUGAACAACCUAUCCUUUAAUUGGCCCCAACACUGUAAUGUGCAUAUUUGUGAUCUGAAACUGUCCAAAUUGCAGGUGGGUUCAUUGAAAACAGUGUGUCAAGAAGAAAUGAAGAAAUGAUUCAGACAAUAAAAGUUAACUCUGGGAUUAUUAUAUUAUUUCAGGGUUGAAGUCCAAAAUUUUGCCAUUUUUUGGCUGUAUCUGCAUACUAUUUGGCUAGCACAUCCUUUCAGCUGGAUCAUUUUUAUAGUCCUUGAAGUUUUUUCAUCUCAUUUCUUCCUUUAUUCUUGUUUACUAUCUAUGCAAUUAGUUGCAUAAUUUUGAUUCUCAAUUUUUACUGCAUUUUCCAACACAUGGAUGGACUCUAUGCCAAAUGCUAUUUAUUUAAUAUGAAGGUAAUGACAGUUAACUCCAUUAGAAUUUUCAAUAGGACAACAAUAAAAAAAUAGUGAAUAACGAAGGUUGAUAAUUUUUAGUGAUUCUUAAUAUGCUAUAUAUCAUACAGGAUAACUCACAAACAGAAUAAUAGAAAUACCUCUUGGCAUUUCUGCCCGCAAAAUGAUACAGAUGGAUUAAUAGAACUAGAGGAUAUAGCGUUCAUAUCCAGACUGCAUGAUUUAUGGUCUGUAAAAUGAAAGUUCAAUAAUUCAGCUCAAUUAUAGAAGAUGUAAAACAACUAAACCUCUAAAAGCAAAACAACUUUACAUUUUUUCUCACAGAGUCUGCACUAGGGAAUCUCAUUUAUAGCUCCCUUACCUUCCUUUGUGAUAGUACCGCCGGUGUUAAAAAAAUUUGCAUGUGCAAUUUGGACAGAGCCAAUCGCCUGGAGGAAGCAUCUAUAGACAAAAGAAACAUGUGAGCCUGAUGCUUAGAGAGCCUGAUGUCAUCUUCUAGGCUGGAUUCGAAUAAGCACAUAAAUAAUAUUAUAAAGUACAGAAUUUCAAAAUCCCAGUUUGCAUUUGUUGAGUCUAUUGGAGAUGCCUAGAUUAUUUUCCCAAGCUUUGUUCGAGUCCGAGAUUAUGCCCGGAAUUCUCAACUGUCGUUUGUGUUCGAGUUUCGUGGUGAAGAUCGUCUCCCUGCUCUUCCCUUUCCAGUUCACCACCCGAAGAAAGGUCAUAUAUGAGGUGAACUCUAAAAGCAGAAAACAACAAAUGUGGAGGAAUCGAAUGGGACCGAUUAAUUUUGUAAGAGUACGGGUGACAUUGGUAAUACUUAUCAGGCAUGUGAAUUUCCUUUUUUCAUACAUAAUUAGAACAUGUUGAUUUUUUUAAAUUUCUUUUGAUAUAAUUGGUAGUAUGUAACAACAGAAAACAAUGAUUAACCAUCACAGUCUUAAAUGUUUAUCGCAACUCGUACAAAUUCGAGAAAGGAAAUUCAGCCCGAUAUUGAAGUUGCAAUAUUACGUUUUUUAAAUAGGAAUAUUGGUGAAUUUGAUUCAGAAUUAAAAUUUGUAUAUUGUGGACAGUGUGAGACCAUUGUUUUUUGUUAAGCAUGUCAUCAUCAUCAUCAUCAUCUUCUUCUUCUUCUUCUUCUUCUUCUUCUUCGUGUACAAGUAUGAGGAUAUCUAAAAUAUGUUUUAUUUCGAAUUAUUUUCUGGGAAAAGUAGUUAGCUUUUUUUAGUUCUUGAUUACUAAUACAGGAACAGUUGCUCGGAAGGAAGGUAACAAAUGAAUAAUAAGGUGAUUUUGGUCUUAAGUAAAUAGUUCUUACAGUUAACUAUGGAUGUCAAUUUUUAUUCAACAGACUGAACUUCAGAAUCGUCGAAAUUCUGGAGAAACAGAUGAUGACUCCUUUAGGGCAGUGAUUGGAAAGGAGCAACCUGGACGACUUAGGUGCUAUGGAAGAUCAGUGACAACAAGUUCUCUGAAAGAAGAUGAGAAAAUUAACUAGAUCAAACAAAAGCAUGCUAAUGAAUUCACUUCUCUAAAGAAAGAAAUGAAUUAAAAUAUGAAUGAAAUGAGAGAUGAAAUGCGACAUUUUUUAGUCAAUUGCUGCAAAACAACCCUGGAUUGAAUGUUCAAGAUAUACCUGGGGUUGUUGGAUCUAAUAUUGUUUCACCUGUUGAUGCAAGUAGCGCACAAGCUCUAAGAGGCCACGAUAUCCAAAUUCUUCAGGGUCAACUCAUGAUCCAAUUCUUAAACAAUGAGACAUAUACUGCACAAUUCUUGUUGUUUCAUGUAUGAUUUGAAGACCGUCGUUUUAUUCACCAUUGUGUUUUGAAAUUUUGAAGGCAGAACUCUGGAAGAAGACGUGAAUGUGCAGAGGCAAUAGAGGUGCUCAAAUUUGAAGGGUCGCCACAAGUUAAUUUGAUCUCAUUGAAGUGAAAGUUGAUGAUUAAUGAAGUGAUUUUGAACUAUUGCAAACGUUUGAAUACUUUUUGAACUAUUCACAUGUACACAUAUAUUUAAAAUAUUUCUUUAUAAGUAUGUGUAUGUACACAAGACUA